rnacentral:lncRNA from 1 species
CCGCUGCGUGAAGGGGAGGGGGCGCCGGCGGAGCGGGUCCUCGGCAACCGAGCUCGGGUUGCCAUGGCGACGGGGAGGUCUUUAAGGGCCUGGUAGUCUCUACAAACACACUGCACCUGCUCUUUCUCUUGGCCCUCGUGAGGAGACACCUCAGGUGCCAAGGAAGAGUGAAUUGUCACAUCAGAGUGAGAGAACAGAGCAGUGCCCUCAGAGUACCUCAAAGUACCAUCAGUGGCAAGGACCAGAGAAGAACAAAGUGAUAAAUGCACAGAGGAGGAAGAACAAGGUUCAGCAUUGGCUAUAUGGACGCUGAUUCCUUUAAUGAUCAAGUCCUCUCCACAAAGAGACUGGGCCACCUGAUCAUCUGCACAUGUAACAAAGGCAAACGCCCUGAACGGUUUGGGAAUGAAGACGUCUGCCACUUCUCCGUACUGGCAAAAAAACCUGCCGACUCUCAUCGGCGGUCAUGUCCCCUGUACAGCGCCCAGCAAACACCUCCCUGCUUCUCAAAGGCUCAUCUGGGCUUUGCUUAG